rnacentral:rRNA from 1 species
UACGUAGGGGGCAAGCGUUGUCCGGAAUCAUUGGGCGUAAAGAGCGUGUAGGCGGCUCGGUAAGUCCGCUGUGAAAGUCCAGGGCUCAACCCUGGAAUGCCGGUGGAAACUGUCGAGCUAGAGUCCGGAAGAGGCGAGUGGAAUUCCUGGUGUAGCAGUGAAAUGCGUAGAGAUCAUGAGGAAGACCAGUGGCGAAGGCGGGUCUCUGGACAGUUCCUGACACUGAGGCACGAAGGCCAGGGGAGCAAACGGG